AAUGACACGAUCACUCCCGGUUAA
rnacentral:miRNA from 1 species